rnacentral:rRNA from 1 species
UACGAAGGGGGCUAGCGUUGUUCGGAAUUACUGGGCGUAAAGCGCGCGCAGGCGGUCUUCCAAGUCAGUGGUGAAAGCCCGGAGCUCAACUCCGGAACUGCCAUUGAAACUGUAAGACUUGAGGAUGAGAGAGGUGAGUGGAAUUCCCAGUGUAGAGGUGAAAUUCGUAGAUAUUGGGAAGAACACCGGUGGCGAAGGCGGCUCACUGGCUCAUAUCUGACGCUCAGGCGCGACAGCGUGGGGAUCAAACGGG